UUUUUUUUUUUUUUUUUUUUUUGAGACAAGGUUUUGCUCUGUCAUCCAGGCUGAGAUGCAGUGGUUCAAUCAUAGCUCACUGUAGCCUUGAACUCCUGAGCUCAAGGAUCCUCCCUCCUCAGCCUGUUGAAUAACUAGGACUAUGGGAGUGCAACACCAUGCCUGGCUAAUUAUUUUUUAGUUUUUUUUUUUUUUUGUAGAGAUGAUGUUUCACUAUGUCAUCCAAACUGGUCUUGAACACCAAACCUCAAGUGAUUCCAAUGUCUGAGCCUCCCAAAAUGCUGGAAUUACAAGCGUGAAUCAGCAUGCUUGGCUGAGCAUUUCUUAAUUCUGAUCACCCAUAAAUUCAAUGGUGUCUGUGAUCUGAAUUGUGUUGGAAAGAGUUUAGGGAUUUGGUAAGAAGUCAAUGAAGAUGAUUAUUUCUGGGCUAUCACUAUAACUCACUGUAGUAUUUUUCUGUUUGCCCCAUCUCCACCUUGCUUUUCUUUUCUUUUUCUUUUUCUUUUUUUUUUUUUUUAGACAGAGUCUUGCUCUGUUGCCCUGGAUGGAGUGCAGUGGUCCAAUUCUGAUCUUGGCUCACUGCAACCUCAGCUUCCUGGGUUCAAGUGAUCCUCCUGCCUCAGCCUCCUGAGUAGCUGGGACCACAGGUGUGUGCCACCACACCCAGCUAAUUCCACCUUUAUUCUUAGUAAGCAGUAAUAUCGGUGUUCUUCUAUAAAUAUUUUUGCUCUUCUAUAAAUCACUUUUACAAACUUUGGUAGUAUAUUGUUGUUUACAAAAGAACUGAACUGCCUUUAAUGAAAACAUAUUUAUACUAAAAUUAAAACUCUAUCAAGGAUUCGAAAUUGCUUGUAUCACAAACUAUUGUUAGUAUUUGCUCCUAUUUAUAUUCCCAAGUGGAUAGUAAGCUGCUUGAAGAAUUAUAAAGAACUUCCAAGGUUGCAUCUUACUGGGUUUUUUUUUGUUGUUGUUGUUUAAUAAAACUGUUCCUAGCAAAGUACAUGCCAUGUAGUUGGUGUUCCAUUAGUUUUGCUGAACUCAACUGAACCAACCAACCAUCCUCCAUUGCAGACUCCAGGCUCUAAGCCUUACACAUUUCUUCCCUAGGUGACUGUAUGAAGGAGCCCUUGACAUGCCUGAGAAACUCCCUUUUAAUCAUAAUUAUAUAUGACUUCUCUUCCCCGCCUGUAUGCCAAUAUUAAACGCACCCAGGAAACUGAUUUCCACUACAGUGGAUGCCUUACCCCUUCCAGUUGAUCAAAUUACACAUCCACA
rnacentral:lncRNA from 1 species